rnacentral:lncRNA from 1 species
UAUCCGAUCCAUAAAUAGCGCAUAUCACUUCGGCAGAUAUCGGACGAUGUCGGUAUUUUCCGGAAUUUUCAUUCAGGAACUUAGUUUUAUUUUAUUUUUUAUAUUUUUGAAUAUCAUUUAAUAAAACCAUUAAUAAAAAGACAAAUACAUAAAGAACUUUUACCAUUAGUUUCUUAUUAUCAAAAAAUUACGGAGUUCUUGUCUACUCUCUUACAACGAGAUCCAAUGGCGGCGCCCAUGAAAAAACAUUGCGAAUGCCGAUUUAAAAAAAAAAACAAUGAUAAACGUUUCACAUUAGAAUUAACAGUCUAUCGAGUGAUCAUAUGGUACGAUGGGCGCCAAAAAAUUAUCAUCUAUUGUGCUAACAAGACCUGUCGGCUCUGAAUAUGCUGUGAAUAGCCCAAAACAUCCGGGUUGACGUCAUUUCGACAUGUACAAUGAUCAGAUGAUAUAGAAAAAGUAGGCAUCGAAAACAACGAUUGUCCACAAAACGCUUGAUUUAGCAAUGGUCUGUGUUGAUGCUAUUUUCUCUGAAAGCAAACUGUCUGUAAUCUGCAGCCAUUCAGCUACUGUUCCAGAAACUUGAAGGCGUAAAAAUUGAGCUGCCAUUACCACAGUACCUCAGAUAUGUAGGAACCAUGACAUUCGGGCAUUUCUGUUCUGUUGGAAAUAAUACUUGAGCUGGAAACAUGACAUGAAAGAAGACCUUAGGAAAUAUAUGCAAGUGGAGAUUGAGACAUUAAAUUUGAAAAAUGAAAAGACUUAUGAAGCAAAUAGCAAGUUCUGAAUGCUUCAAACUAACUGUUAGUAGACUUUGGAUGAUUUACUGCAAAGGUAGUGCAAAAAAGACUCAGAUACAAAUGUAUCAUAACAAUGCUUACAUGCCAAACUUCCAGGGCAUCUAUACAGGAGAAUUCAGUUGAAAGUCCAGGAGAUUUCAGAAUUUACAUUGUACCUAGUUUAAUAGUAUAAUUAAAAAGAUAGUUCUGAAUUCUUUUUGGUAAAUCUGAUUCAUUUUUAAAUCUACAAGGUAUUGUCAUCAUUUUUUGAUCUUUGUCAGCUUUGGUCUUGGUUAACAUUUUUGCUUAUGUUCCUCUUUUCUUCGAAACUAUAAGAAAUAUAGCUUUGAAACUUA